rnacentral:lncRNA from 1 species
UGGACGGCGCCUUGCGGGUUACUCUAGGAAACGCAGUCCGGGCUGGUGACAGGUGGCGGCGCAGGCGCACGCGAGGUCUCGGGUGGGCCUGGACUUGCCGCCCCUUUGUUUUUCCUCCCGCUCCUCGCGGCUGUUCCUGCCCCGGGACCGGCGACCCUCGCGCCUGUUGCGGCCAAGCUGGCCAGAGCCCCGAGCCCCAGAGGGAGGGACUCCAGGAGUCUUCAUUUCCUGGAAACAGCUGGGGAGCAAGCGGUGACCAUGACGGGUUUGGCCCAGGCGCUUGGGGAGAGAGAUCUCCCUGUUCAAGAUUUUGUCUCUCUCCAAGAGAAGCCCACAGAGGAGCUGGGAAGAUUGAUACCUGGCUUGUCAAGAGCCAGAGCCCAGGUGAGUUGAGGGUUUCUUUCCCUUAUCCUAGGAAUUCUGAGGUUCCAGAAGGUAAAAACAU